rnacentral:rRNA from 1 species
CCUACGGGGGGCAGCAGUGGGGGAUAUUGCACAAUGGGGGGAACCCUGAUGCAGCGACGCCGCGUGGGUGAAGGAGUGCUUCGGCAUGUAAAGCCCUAUCGGCAGGGAAGAAGCAAGACGGUACCUGACUAAGAAGCCCCGGCUAACUACGUGCCAGCAGCCGCGGUAAUACGUAGGGGGCGAGCGUUAUCCGGAUUCACUGGGUGUAAAGGGAGCGUAGACGGAAAGGCAAGUCAGAAGUGAAAACCCAAGGCUCAACCAUGGGACUGCUUUUGAAACUGUCAAACUAGAGUACGGGAGAGGGA